UGGGGAAUUUUGCACAAUGGGGGAAACCCUGAUGCAGCGACGCCGCGUGAUUUAGAAGGCCUUCGGGUUGUAAAAAUCUUUUCUAUGGGAAGAAAAUGACAGUACCAUAGGAAUAAGGACCGGCUAAUUACGUGCCAGCAGCCGCGGUAAUACGUAAGGUCCGAGCGUUGUCCGGAAUCAUUGGGCGUAAAGGGUACGUAGGCGGGUAAGCAAGUUAGAAGUGAAAUCCUAUAGCUCAACUAUAGUAAUCUUUUAAAACUGCUCAUCUUGAGGUAUGGAAGGGAAAGUGGAAUUCCUAGUGUAGCGGUGAAAUGCGCAGAUAUUAGGAGGAAUACCGGUGGCGAAGGCGACUUUCUGGCCAUAACCUGACGCUGAGGUACGAAAGCGUGGGUAGCAAACAGG
rnacentral:rRNA from 1 species